UACGAAGGGGGCUAGCGUUGCUCGGAAUUACUGGGCGUAAAGGGCGCGUAGGCGGCUGUUUAAGUCGGGGGUGAAAGCCCGGGGCUCAACCUCGGAAUAGCCUUCGAUACUGGACAUCUUGAGUACGGGAGAGGUGAGUGGAACUCCGAGUGUAGAGGUGAAAUUCGUAGAUAUUCGGAAGAACACCAGUGGCGAAGGCGACUCACUGGCCCGUUACUGACGCUGAGGCGCGAAAGCGUGGGGAGCAAACAGG
rnacentral:rRNA from 1 species